rnacentral:rRNA from 1 species
AGAGUUUGAUCCUGGCUCAGAUUGAACGCUGGCGGCAUGCCUUACACAUGCAAGUCGAACGGUAACAGGGAGCUUGCUCCGCUGACGAGUGGCGAACGGGUGAGUAAUAUAUCGGAACGUACCAUUCAGUGGGGGAUAACGUAGCGAAAGUUACGCUAAUACCGCAUAUUCUGUGAGCAGGAAAGCAGGGGAUCGCAAGACCUUGCGCUGAUUGAGCGGCCGAUAUCAGAUUAGCUUGUUGGUGAGGUAAAAGCUCACCAAGGCGACGAUCUGUAGCGGGUCUGAGGGGAUGAUCCGCCACACUGGAACUGAGACACGGUCCAGACUCCUACGGGAGGCAGCAGUGGGGAAUUUUGGACAAUGGGGGCAACCCUGAUCCAGCCAUGCCGCGUGAGUGAAGAAGGCCUUCGGGUUGUAAAGCUCUUUCAGCCGGGAAGAAAACGCAUGGGUUAAUACCCUGUGUGGAUGACGGUACCGGAAUAAGAAGCACCGGCUAACUACGUGCCAGCAGCCGCGGUAAUACGUAGGGUGCGAGCGUUAAUCGGAAUUACUGGGCGUAAAGCGUGCGCAGGCGGUUUUGUAAGACAGGCGUGAAAUCCCCGGGCUUAACCUGGGAACUGCGUUUGUGACUGCAAGGCUAGAGUACGGCAGAGGGGGGUGGAAUUCCACGUGUAGCAGUGAAAUGCGUAGAGAUGUGGAGGAACACCAAUGGCGAAGGCAGCCCCCUGGGUCGAUACUGACGCUCAUGCACGAAAGCGUGGGUAGCAAACAGGAUUAGAUACCCUGGUAGUCCACGCCCUAAACGAUGUCAACUAGGUGUUGGGAGGGUAAAACCUUUUAGUACCGGAGCUAACGCGUGAAGUUGACCGCCUGGGGAGUACGGCCGCAAGGUUAAAACUCAAAGGAAUUGACGGGGACCCGCACAAGCGGUGGAUGAUGUGGAUUAAUUCGAUGCAACGCGAAAAACCUUACCUACCCUUGACAUGCCAAGAACUUUCCAGAGAUGGAUUGGUGCCCGAAAGGGAACUUGGACACAGGUGCUGCAUGGCUGUCGUCAGCUCGUGUCGUGAGAUGUUGGGUUAAGUCCCGCAACGAGCGCAACCCUUGUCGUUAAUUGCCAUCAUUUAGUUGGGCACUUUAACGAGACUGCCGGUGACAAACCGGAGGAAGGUGGGGAUGACGUCAAGUCCUCAUGGCCCUUAUGGGUAGGGCUUCACACGUCAUACAAUGGUCGGUACAAAGGGUCGCCAAGCCGCGAGGUGGAGCCAAGCCCAGAAAGCCGAUCGUAGUCCGGAUCGCAGUCUGCAACUCGACUGCGUGAAGUCGGAAUCGCUAGUAAUCGUGGA